UACGGGGGGAGCAAGCGUUGUUCGGAUUUACUGGGCGUAAAGGGCGCGUAGGCGGUCGUGACAAGUCACUUGUGAAAUCUCCGGGCUUAACUCGGAACGGUCAAGUGAUACUGUCGGACUAGAGUACAGAAGGGGCAACUGGAAUUCUCGGUGUAGCGGUGAAAUGCGUAGAUAUCGAGAGGAGCACCUGCGGCGAAGGCGGGUUGCUGGGCUGAUACUGACGCUGAGGCGCGAAAGCCAGGGGAGCGAACGGGG
rnacentral:rRNA from 1 species